ensembl:lincRNA
GAAUAAUCACAUCCUCAACUUCCAGAGAAAUUUGUUUCUAUUUUCCAGGAAGCGCAAGUUAACACCAUAUUUAUGGUAACUCUUUUACUGCAGAAUACUUACUGGUGGAUUUAACCCUGAAGGCAGGCCAGUGACAUUGAUAGAUAAAACUCUAUAACCAACACAGCUUAGCCUCUUAAUCUUCCUUCAGCACAUUGAUGCUAUGAAAAUCACAUUACUGUCAUCAGUGGAUUAAUAGAGCUGCUACCUAGACUGACAAGACGCAGUAAAAACGCCUGGCAAAUUGGAGCUGGGGUGGUAUGGAAUCCUACAAAGAAGAACCAUAGAAAGCAUCGUUAGAAAGAAAGCCUAGCAAGUGAGAUAAAAUAACCGCAGCUAGAAAUGUUGGUAAUGGGAAGAAUACAAGCUUAAUAUCAAGUGGACCAAGAUUUGAAUCCCAAAGCUGACAUUUAUAAUUUGUUUCCUGGGCAAAGUUUUUACCCACUGUAAGUUUUAUUUUCUUAUCCUAUAAAAUGUA